rnacentral:rRNA from 1 species
CCGAUGCUUGUAGUAGGUCAGCGCAGGAGUGACGCAGAAGGGUAGCCGGCCGCGGAGGUGGUCUUCCGUGGUCAAGCACGCAGGGCGUGGGACAGGCAAAUCCGUCCCGCAUGGGUCCGAGGUGCGAUGAUGGGGGCCUUAUGGCCCGAUAUCCGGUGAUCCCGGCUGCCGAGAAAAGCUUCGGCGUCAGGCUCGAAGCCGCCCGUACCCCAAACCGACACUGGUGGUCAGGUAGAGAAUACCAAAGCGAUCGAGCGAAUCCUGGUCAAGGAACUCGGCAAAUCACUCCCGUUCCUUCGGUUUAAGGGAGACCCCCGAUGGUGAACCGCCUCGCGCGGGGAGCUUUUGGGGGUGGCACAGACCAGGGGGUAGCGACUGUUUACCAAAAACACAGGUGCAUGCGAAGGCGCAAGCCGCUGUAUAUGCACUGACGCCUGCCCGGUGCCGGAAGGUUAAGAGGAUCCGUCAGCCUUCGGGUGAAGCGGUGAAUUCAAGCCCCGGUAAACGGCGGUGGUAACUAUAACCAUCCUAAGGUAGCGAAAUUCCUUGUCGGGUAAGUUCCGACCUGCACGAAUGGCGUAACGACUUCCCCACUGUCUCGACCAGGAGCUCGGCGAAAUUGCAGUACGAGUAAAGAUGCUCGUUAAGCGCAGAAGGACGAAAAGACCCCGGGACCUUUACUAUACCUUGGUAUUGGCAUUCGGUGUGGAUUGUGUAGCAUAGGCGGGAGGCCGAGAGGCGCGGUCGCCAGAUCGCGCGGAGCCGUAAGGUGAAAUACCGCUCUGUUCGCAUUGGAUGUCUAACCUCGAACAGUCAUCCUGUUCAGGGACAGUGCCUGGCGGGUAGUUUAACUGGGGCGGUUGCCUCCCAAAGAGUAACGGAGGCGCCCAAAGGUCCGCUCAGCCCGGUUGGCAAUCGGGUGGCGAGUGCAAGUGCACAAGCGGGCUUGACUGCGAGGACGACGGUCCGAGCAGGGACGAAAGUCGGGACUAGUGAUCCGGUGCCGGUGUACGGACGCGGCAUCGCUCAACGGAUAAAAGGUACCCCGGGGAUAACAGGCUGAUCAUUCCCAAGAGUCCAUAUCGACGGGAUGGUUUGGCACCUCGAUGUCGGCUCGUCGCAUCCUGGGGCUGUAGUAGGUCCCAAGGGUUGGGCUGUUCGCCCAUUAAAGUGGCACGCGAGCUGGGUUCAG